UUUUCCUCUAAGAGUUUUAUAGUAUCUUGUCUUAUAUCUAGGUCUUUAAUCCAUUUUGAGUUUAUUUUUGUGUAUGGUGUUAGAGAGUGUUUUAAUUUCAUUCUUUUCUGUGUGGCUGUCCAGUUUUUCCAGCACCACUUAUUGAAGGGGCUGUCUUUCUUCCAUUGUAUAUUCUUCCCUCCUUUGUCAUAGAUUAGUUGACUGUAGGUGAAUUCAUUUAAUUGUUGAUAAAAUAAAAGGUCUGUAGAAAAGAGCUAAAGCAAACUCUUAUUUCCAGCUUUUCUCUUCAGUUCAACAUUGUUCCAUUCAUCAACAAUCUUUGAAUAGAUCUGUCUUAACAAUGUAUCCUUUUUUUUUUUUUUUAUGUCUUUUUACCUUUACUUGAGCCACUCCCAUGGCAUGUGGAGGUUCCCAGGCUAAGGGUCCUAUCCGAGCUGUAGCUGCUGGCUUACGCCACAGCCACAGCAGCACGGGAUCUGAGCCACGUCUGCGACCUACACCACAGCUCACGGCAAUGCCAGAUCCUUAACCCCCUGAGCAAGGCCAGGGAUUGAACCUGCAACCUCAUGGUUCCUAGUCAGAUUCGUUAACCACUGUGCCACAAGGGGAACUCCCAACAAUAUAUCCAUCUUAUUGAUUACAUUUCUUUAAAGUGUCCAAAAAGAUAUCAGGAAUGAUCUUUCAAAUCCUUGCAAAAAUAUAAUAUACUGUGUCUACAGUAUUACCAUAUUUUGUGAGGUUAACAAUGCCAUUCAAGAAGGGAGAGUGUUUUGUUUGACCUGACUUACCCAAGGUGAGCUCGUUAUGUCUCUGGAAGGCAAUUCUCUCUAUCUCUCUCUCAGAAACACAUCUAUUUAAUCAUCCAUUCUGGAAUUUUUGUGGGGAGGAAUGUUAAGUUGUCUAGUCUCUAUUUUUUGGGAACCAUCUUUUCUUUUCUCUUUCUUUGGAAAGCAGAAUAUUUGAUUGUCUCAUUAUGAAUAGAAAAGGUCAUUGCUUUGAUACCCCCUUCAUAUAGAGCCUAGAGAUGGAAGACAUGCAAAGGUAUGUAGUGGGUGGGAAAAGUGAUUUUUGGAGGGAAUUUGUUUAGUUACAAAAUGCUUUCUUUAUGAUUUCCUCAUGCCUUUUUAAUAGGGUUGUUAAUAAAUGAUACAUUGAAGAUGAAUAAAUAAUAGAGAACAUCUUCAUUAAUGAGUGAGCAUUUGUGUGCCUGGUGCACUGGGUCCAAACCUGGUUUAUCUCUCUGCUCAUGGUACCAUAGAUACAGCAAAGGGUCUCCUCCACCCCCAAACCAACAAGGCUGAGAGUGGAACUACUAUAGCUUCUCUGUCAAAAAUAGCUUGGACUCCACAAGUCUGCCUGAAAUUUGAUCAUAAAUACAGGGGGACUAAGAAGACUAAACUUGCCCACAGAUACUCUUACACUGUAAUGAGUAGAGGUCAGUUCUUCAUAGCUUAUAAAGCUAUGGCUUCUUACUAAUGAACAGGCAUCUUUCCUCAAAAGAAGCCGUUUUGCUUCUAAUAAAACACUGGAAAGUAUGAUGGUUAAUUUUAUGUGUCACCUUAGCUAGUCUAUGGUGCCUAGCUGUUUGGCAGCUAGUUUAGAUGUUGUCAUGAAAGUAUUUUAAAGACAUGAUUCACACAAUCAGUAAGCUUUAAGUAAAGGAGAUUGUCCUUGAUAAUGCAGGUGGGCCUCAUCCAGUCAAUUGACAGUCAUAAGGACAAAGAAUUGAGGUUUCCCAGAGAAGAAGGAAUUCAGUGUCGAUGUAGCAUAUGAAUCCUGCCUGAGUUUCCAUCCUCCCCGCCGGCCCUGCAGAUUUUAGACUUAAGGCUCUAACUUCAAUUCUUGCUUGAAUUUGCAGCCAGCUGGUUUGCCAUACACACAUCCAACUUACCAGCCCCCAAUUUCGCAACUCAAUUUAAGGAAUUUAAUCAAUCUGUAUAUCUAUCAAUUAAUAGGUAUAGAUAGAUAUAAAUAUAAUGUAUAGAUACAGAUAUGCAUCCUUUUGGUUCUGUUUCUGUAGAGAACACUGACUGGCAAGGAAGGUGACUUCCCUCUCUAUGAUCUUCACAUGUGACAUAGGAAGACACACAUGUAGACUGCAUCACUGUUGCCCUUUGGGGUGGCGUUUUUGCUGCUCUGCCCUCUUUUAGUCUUAGCUCUUCAUCAACUCCUGGCAUAGGCCUCCUUACAGCACCUCUGCCCAUUUCUACCCAGGCUUUCUCUCUCAGGUGUUGCCAUGGCUGAACUUGUAGUUAGAGAUAAAACUAAGCUAUGUUAGUAAUUGGCACAUGGGAUGCAAAGUCUAGGAUGAGAAAUAAGCUCUAAAGUGCAGAGUUCCAAGCUGUCUAGAUUUUUACUACAACUUCCAGCCAAAGAGCAAGUUUGUGAGAAACGAGUAACUCCUGGGAAGAAUGAGGAACUGCCAAUGAAAUGCCAUCGACUCUGCCCAUUUUUGAUGCUGCCAAAGAGGUGUCAUCCAUGAGAAAGAGCAGUAAAAGCUAGGAGGAGAGACUCAGCAAAGAACUGAUUGGACUAAUGAAGUCAGUGGAGAGAGAGGAGUGGGAGAGUGGAGGCAGAAACUUAUGUUUAUGAUGUGUCCAUUAUGUGCUAGACACUAUGAAAUGAAAUGCUUUAUAUCAUCUCAUUUAAACCCACUAGAGUCUGAUGAAGUAGCGUUUUUGCUUCAUUCUCAAAGAGCUGAAGUUCAGAAUAUAUAAAUAACUUUGUCUGAUAUCUUAGAUUUUAAGCAACAAAGCCUUGAGUUCCCUGGUGGCCUAGUAGUCAGGGAUCUGGUGUUGUCACUGCUGUGACAUGAGUGAAAUCCCUGGCCUGGGAACUUGUGCAUGCUGUGGCUGGGGGCCAAAAAAAAAAAA
rnacentral:lncRNA from 1 species